rnacentral:lncRNA from 1 species
GGAAGUUGCGGCCGACCUCCCCUCGCCUCCGGACUCCGGCCGCGCGGCUGCUCCCCGCUUCCCACUGGCGAGAGGCUGGAGGCGGCGAAGGAGUCGGGGCGCGGGGGCGCGGGGGGCGGGGGGGCGUCUGCCUUUUAACCCUCCCCAGGAGGUCGUGCCUCUGAGCCCCAAAGCUGAAGGCCCCUCUUGGGGGUGGGUGCGGGCCGGAGGGGCCCGAUCCUUUCAGAGCCGGGCCGAGGUGAAGGAAAAGAAGGAAGUCCUUUGAGAUACAUUAUCUCACUGAAGCCUCAGCAACUCCGCGGUGUUCCCAGAGGUGAGGAAACACACUGAGAGACAGAACACGACUUGACCAGGGCCACCCUGUGGGGCACGCUGGCACCUGCACAGCCCAGCUUCACCUGGUUCCAGCCCUGCCCGCGCUCUGCUCCCCACUUCCCGUAACCCUGGGCUGGCGUCAGCAGGCAGGCCUGCCAGGAGGCUGGAGCUGCCAACGACCUAUUUUUCUGGGCAAGAAGAGCCAUUUGGAGUUAGAGGUCUCAGCUGUGAAGCCAGAACAAUAAAAAUAAAAACAGCACGGACUCCUGGGCAGCCUGGACCAGGGAACCAACUGCCCCAAGAGUUGCUGCUCACCAGGCUGGAAGGCAAGUGGGGUUGGGGGGAUGGGAGAUGGGAGUGACCUUACCGAGCCCCUGCUAUGUCCUCCGGCCCUUACAGAGUAAGGGUAAUCUCCAAGGUUCACAACAGGCCCUUUGUCUGGGUGGCCAGACCAGUCAGGAUUUGAACUCAGUUUUCCAAACAGUAACAAUUCCCAUCUGUUCAGCAGCUACUAUGCUUUACAGACUUGUGACAUUCAUACCACACCUGGGGGGGUGAGCUAAUCAUUCCCUCAUUCUACAGAUGAGGCAGCUGAGACUUCAGGAGGCCUCUGCUCACACGCCACCUCCUUGAGAGGCCUUGCCAGACCACCCUGUUAAAGUAGUCACCCUCACGCCUGCCCAAUAUGCCCUACCCUCUUCCCUAUUUUAUCUUCAUAGCAUGCAUCACGACCUGCUAAUAUUGUGUGUCUCCACUGCAUUUUGUCUGUCUCCCUAACUAGCUCCAGGUCAGUUUAUCCUAGUGGCUUGCACUCCAGCGGUCUCUCAGACUAGCCCCGUGGGGCAAGUUAUUUUGAUGAUCUGUGCUUCCUUCGGGGUAAUGAUAGGACCUUACCUGAAAGGUUUCUUGUGAGGGUUAAAUGAGUUAAUAUCGGUUAAGUGUUGGCCGCUGCCAUUGUUUUGUCCCAGAGCUGUAGCUCCAGGGUCUUUAACAGUAAACAAUAGGUUGUCAAUAAAUAUGUAUUAAAUUUAAAAACUG